ACACAUAAUGAUGACGAGUAGGGCGAGGCACGUGAAACCUUGUCUGAAUAUGGGGGGACCAUCCUCCAAGGCUAAAUACUCCUGACUGACCGAUAGUGAACCAGUACCGUGAGGGAAAGGCGAAAAGAACCCCUGUGAGGGGAGUGAAAUAGAUCCUGAAACCGCAUGCAUACAAGCAGUGGGAGCACCUUCGUGGUGUGACUGCGUACCUUUUGUAUAAUGGGUCAGCGACUUAUAUUCAGUAGCGAGGUUAACCGUAUAGGGGAGCCGUAGAGAAAUCGAGUCUUAAUAGGGCGUUUAGUUGCUGGGUAUAGACCCGAAACCAGGCGAUCUAUCCAUGAGCAGGUUGAAGGUUGGGUAACACUAACUGGAGGACCGAACCCACUGUCGUUGAAAAGCCAGGGGAUGACUUGUGGAUAGGGGUGAAAGGCUAAUCAAGCCUGGUGAUAGCUGGUUCUCCCCGAAAGCUAUUUAGGUAGCGCCUCGGACGAAUACCAUAGGGGGUAGAGCACUGUUUCGGCUAGGGGGUCAUCCCGACUUACCAAACCGAUGCAAACUCCGAAUACCUAUGAGUACUAUCCGGGAGACAGACUGCGGGUGCUAACGUCCGUAGUCAAGAGGAAAACAAUCCAGACCGCCAGCUAAGGCCCCAAAAUCAUAGUUAAGUGGGAAACGAUGUGGGAAGGCAUAGACAGCUAGGAGGUUGGCUUAGAAGCAGCCACCCUUUAAAGAAAGCGUAAUAGCUCACUAGUCGAGUCGGCCUGCGCGGAAGAUGUAACGGGGCUAAAACUAUGUGCCGAAGCUGCGGAUGUAUACUUUGUAUACGUGGUAGGGGAGCGUUCUGUAAGCCGAUGAAGGUGUGUUGAGAAGCAUGCUGGAGGUAUCAGAAGUGCGAAUGCUGACGUGAGUAACGACAAAACGGGUGAAAAACCCGUUCGCCGAAAGACCAAGGGUUCCAGUCCAACGUUAAUCGGGGCUGGGUGAGUCGACCCCUAAGGCGAGGCCGAAAGGCGUAGUCGAUGGGAAAAUGGUUAAUAUUCCAUUACUUCUGUGUAAUGCGAUGAGAGGACGGAGAAGGCUAAAUCAGCCUGGCGUUGGUUGUCCAGGUGAAAGGAUGUAGGCAUGUAUCUUAGGCAAAUCCGGGGUACUCUAUGCUGAGAUCUGAUAGCAAGCUGUACUUGUACAGCGAAGUGGUUGAUGCCAUGCUUCCAGGAAAAGUCUCUAAGCUUCAGUUACACAGGAAUCGUACCCGAAACCGACACAGGUGGUCAGGUCGAGUAGACCAAGGCGCUUGAGAGAACUCUGCUGAAGGAACUAGGCAAAAUGGUACCGUAACUUCGGGAGAAGGUACGCUGUUGUUGGUGAUGGAACUCGCUUCCUGAGCUGACGACAGCCGCAGAAACCAGGCCGCUGCAACUGUUUAUUAAAAACAUAGCACUCUGCAAACACGAAAGUGGACGUAUAGGGUGUGAUGCCUGCCCGGUGCUGGAAGGUUAAUUGAUGGGGUUAGCGUAAGCGAAGCUCUUGAUCGAAGCCCCAGUAAACGGCGGCCGUAACUAUAACGGUCCUAAGGUAGCGAAAUUCCUUGUCGGGUAAGUUCCGACCUGCACGAAUGGCAUAAUGAUGGCGGCGCUGUCUCCAGCAGAGGCUCAGUGAAAUCGAAAUCGCUGUGAAGAUGCAGUGUACCCGCGGCUAGACGGAAAGACCCCGUGAACCUUUACUGCAGCUUGACACUGAACUUUGACCUUACUUGUGUAGGAUAGGUGGGAGGCUUUGAAGCUGGAACGCUAGUUCCAGUGGAGCCGUCCUUGAAAUACCACCCUGGUAAUGUUGAGGUUCUAACUCUGUCCCGUGAUCCGGGACGAGGACCGUGUCUGGUGGGUAGUUUGACUGGGGCGGUCUCCUCCUAAAGAGUAACGGAGGAGUACGAAGGUGCGCUCAGCGUGGUCGGAAAUCACGCGUAGAGUAUAAAGGCAAAAGCGCGCUUAACUGCGAGACCCACAAGUCGAGCAGGUACGAAAGUAGGUCUUAGUGAUCCGGUGGUUCUGUAUGGAAGGGCCAUCGCUCAACGGAUAAAAGGUACUCUGGGGAUAACAGGCUGAUACCGCCCAAGAGUUCAUAUCGACGGCGGUGUUUGGCACCUCGAUGUCGGCUCAUCUCAUCCUGGGGCUGAAGCAGGUCCCAAGGGUAUGGCUGUUCGCCAUUUAAAGAGGUACGCGAGCUGGGUUUAGAACGUCGUGAGACAGUUCGGUCCCUAUCUACCGUGGGCGCUGGAAAUUUGAGAGGAUCUGCUCCUAGUACGAGAGGACCAGAGUGGACGAACCUCUGGUGUACCGGUUGUGACGCCAGUCGCAUCGCCGGGUAGCUAUGUUCGGAAGGGAUAACCGCUGAAAGCAUCUAAGCGGGAAGCCUACCUCAAGAUAAGAUUUCCCUAGGACUUUAUGUCCUCUAAAGAGCCGUUCGAGACUAGGACGUUGAUAGGUUGGAUGUGGAAGCAUAGUGAUAUGUGAAGCUGACCAAUACUAAUUGCUCGUGAGGCUUGACUAUACAACACCCAAGCAGUUG
rnacentral:rRNA from 1 species